UAAUACGGAGGAUGCGAGCGUUAUCCGGAUUUAUUGGGUUUAAAGGGUGCGUAGGCGGUUGUAUAAGUCAGCGGUGAAAUUUUCCGGCUUAACCGGGAGACUGCCGUUGAUACUGUAUAGCUUGAAUACGGUUGCUGUGAGUGGAAUGUGUGGUGUAGCGGUGAAAUGCAUAGAUAUCACACAGAAUAUCGAUUGCGAAGGCAACUCACAAAGCCAUUAUUGACGCUGAUGCACGAAAGUGUGGGGAUCAAACAGGAUUAGAUACCCUGGUAGUCCACACUGUAAACGAUGAUAACUCGCUGUCGGCGAUACAUAGUCGGUGGCCAAGCGAAAGCGAUAAGUUAUCCACCUGGGGAGUACGACCGCAAGGUUGAAACUCAAAGGAAUUGACGGGGGCCCGCACAAGCGGAGGAACAUGUGGUUUAAUUCGAUGAUACGCGAGGAACCUUACCCGGGCUCGAACGGUGCAUGAAUGAUUCAGAGAUGGAUUAGUCCUUCGGGACAUGUAUCGAGGUGCUGCAUGGUUGUCGUCAGCUCGUGCCGUGAGGUGUCGGCUUAAGUGCCAUAACGAGCGCAACCCUUGUCGUUAGUUACCAUCAAGUAAUGUUGGGGACUCUAGCGAGACUGCCACCGUAAGGUGUGAGGAAGGGGGGGAUGACGUCAAAUCAGCACGGCCCUUACGUCCGGGGCGACACACGUGUUACAAUGGUAGGUACAGAGGGGCGCUAUCCAGUGAUGGAGUGCGAAUCUCAAAAACCUAUCUCAGUUCGGAUUGGAGUCUGCAACUCGACUCCAUGAAGUUGGAUUCGCUAGUAAUCGCGCAUCAGCCAUGGUGCGGUGAAUACGUUCCCGGGCCUUGUACACACCGCCCGUCAAGCCAUGGANGCCGGGGGUGCCUGA
rnacentral:rRNA from 1 species